AAGUCGUAACAAGGUUUCCGUAGGUGAACCUGCGGAAGGAUCAUUAAUGAUAAUAUGAUAUGAGAGAUUGUGAAUCGUGUUUUGCAGGGGGUGAUUGAUUGAUUACUGGGGUGAUUGGAUGGAUCGCUGCAGGGGUGAUUGAUUGAUUACUGGGGCAAUACACAAGGAACAAGAGCAAUUAUGGAGGAAAAAGUAGAGUGCAAGUGCAGGUUGUGGCAGCAAUGCACAACAAAGUACAAGGCACAAACAUAACAACAACAAGAAUACAACUUUUAACAAUGGAUCUCUAGGCUCUU
rnacentral:misc_RNA from 1 species